ACGUAAGGGGCGAGCGUUGUUCGGAUUAACUGGGUGUAAAGGGUCCGCAGGUGGCUUUGCAAGUCAAGAGUGAAAGCCCGCGGCUUAACCGCGGAACUGCUUUUGAUACUACAGAGCUUGAGUGCGAGAGAGGUAAGCAGAAUUCCCGGUGUAGCGGUGAAAUGCGUAGAUAUCGGGAGGAAUACCAGUGGCAAAGGCGGCUUACUGGCUCGCAACUGACACUCAUGGACGAAGGCGUGGGGAGCAAACAG
rnacentral:rRNA from 1 species